GUGUUGAUACUCCCGGAAACAUGUUUUUCAUCCUUUCGAGUCAUCUAAUGAUUGCCUGCUAUACAAUAAAGUCAGUAUGAGGACAUCCUAAAAUUUAAGAGUUAUGCUUUUCUUGGCGGACAAAACUGAGGACUUAAGCCUGGAAGACAGCCUCUCAGCUCUGAGGAACUGCUCUGAAGAGGCCUGUUUUGCCCUCACAUCCAUUCCUCGCCUUUCUCCUGCUCCUUUCAGCAUGGCAGAGGAGGGGGACUCCAUACAGGAAAGAUGCAUGUCCUUCACUCCUGUGCUGGGAGGCCUCCGUACUGAGUUGCUGGGCUCCAUUAAUGUGAGGCACUUCUAGAGAUUGGAGGGAUUGAAGAAACAGCCAAGGUAU